GCUGGUCAAGCGGGCUCGGCAAGGCCAGGAUGAAGAGAAGCUGCGAACUUAGCACUCCCAGAGACCCCCGAGUGGAUAUCCGCGUGGAAAGGAUGUUGGCAGCCCCGGUGACCUCGGAGUCACGGCUGGAUCCACCCUCUUGUCUGAUUUUCUUAACUCGACCACGGUAAGAAGAUGCCCUCCAUCAGCGGGCUGUGCUUGCAGAUGUCGUGGGGCCUCUCUGGAGACUUCCCGAACCCUGUGGAUUUACAGUAAGAUGCAGUUUCCUGGGGAGUAAUUCUGGUGGAUACAAAUUCCGGAGUACUACACCUGGCUUGCCUGGAGAUGUUACAAGUAGUUGGUCGGAUUCUACAGCCUGGAUGCCCACUGAGAACAAGGACUGAAACUGAGAGGACUGUAUCUCUACCCUUGACUCAGUGGGAAUAUUUGCUGUCAUCUCUCGGGUUACCUGGAGCUCCCUCUAAAAUGUAAGCCCCCAAGACCCAUCUCCUUUCAACGCAGUGUUUCUGGUAUCAUACCCUUGAAGCGUUCCAGAAGGAUUUUGAGGUCCUUUCCUAAAUCAAAGGUGGAAUAUUUGGGGAUUUGGAAAAUUGAGAUGAGAAGCAUUGACUUAAGAGAUGCCAAGUAACUCAGCAGAUGUCACACAGACGAUAAAUAGCAAAGAUGGAAGUCUUCAUGCCGGAGGCAAUCCUAUAAGACAGCUGAGUUCUCCAGAGCUGGUAGGAGACAGACUUGCUCAGGUGAUAGAUCCAGCCAUGAUACUGACCCUAAGAGAAUGAGACACUCUGCAGAAGACUUAGAAGAUUCCUGAGACUGGGAAAGGUGCCUAGAAAUCCUGAGAAGAGUGAAGAAGCCAUUGGCAGAGCAGCCUUCCACAGCACUAUGAAAGACAUCCAACAGAGAGCAAGUUUCCACCUCACUUCCAGCUUGACUCCUCUUUUAUCUCCUAACUGCAGUAUGUGAUGUCUUCAGCAACGGUAUUAAUUAGUUCUGGGUACCUGGAGGCACAGCAGCCGUGUUGAACCUAUGAGGUGAUGAAAAACCAUGCAACUAGAAACCAGAAUGGAAGAAAAGAAGAAGCUGGAUCCUUGACUGAAUCAUAGAUGGGGGAUAGUCCAUCAUCCCAGGGCUAAGACCACCUCCAGAUUUCUUGUUUGGUGAAACAAUUCCUGAUUGUUUACAUUUCUUUAUGUUGAGCUGUCUCUUACUUGUAGCUGAAAGCAUUUCUAAUAGAUAUUCAGAUUAUCAGCCUUAGCUCCAAGCUAGAAUACUCUAUGGGACCUUAGCUUCUCCAUGAAUUCUUUUGCUCAUCUGUGUAGUGCUCAAUAAAUGUAAAUUGAACCCUGAAUGAGGGACAAUGACACUAUUGAAGUCAUGAUUGUCAAUCUUAUUAACUGACUAAAUACUUAACAAAAAGGUUGGAACACUGCCUGAUGCACAGUAAGCGGCUGUGGAAAGGGUUUGCCAAAUGGAGUGAGAAGAAAACAGUCAUGUUUAUAGGCUUUCUUUUACAUCUUGAUCCAUCUUCAAGCCUCUGUGGUCUUUAAGCAGAACCUUGACCCCUUCAGUACUGGGGCUCAUGGAGCAUGAAACGCCCCCUAAACUCUUGUCUCAAAACACCCACUCUAGCAGUUUCUUUUUGACAAAAAAGCCUUCUCAGUGAAUGCUGGCUUGUGAAAAAGAAGGGGCUGUGAUCACCACAGCCCCUUAGUAGGUGACCAAAAUACCCAAAGCAAUUCAUGCAAAUAGAUUCAAGUCUCUCUGGGCAAGCCUUCCUGAAGGCUCUAGAAUUUUUGAAGCUCAUUUUUGAAUGGGUCUUUCCAUCUGGUGGCCUUUUUUCUUUUUCUUUCUUGCACCUCCUCCCUUCUUUCUUGUCAGAGCUAGAGGGAUGGGAAGAUGAUUUGUGCUCGGACUCUCUGUCCUUUCUCUGGAGGGAGGGACCAGGCUGCUGGGCAUGUGUGAAGGAGCGAGUGUGAUUUGGGAUAUUACUUUCUGUUAUCGCAAUGGCCAGCCUUUAGAGAGGUCAUUUGAAGUUGACCAACAAGUAGGCAUUAUUUCAAAAUAGUUCUUGACCAUGGUAUUAAAGAACCAACCAGUAUGUGUGCCCAUCUUAAAAACAAACAAACAAACCAAUCUCACUUUUGGAAAGUUCCUGCUGAAUGUGUGCCCUUCUGUCUCACUUCUUAUCCUUUUUGGCAGAAACAGCCCAGAAAAGGGGGCCUUGCCUUUGAACCACUCUGCUACUUCAACCUUCCUGCUUCUGUCUGACCUACCUUCCUUCAUCAGCAGCCAGGAUCCUUUCAAAGUGAGCACCUAAAGGUGGGAAUUCUCCAGCCACAAGUGCCCUCUGAAAUUCUAUCUUACUUAGAAUAAAAUCUCUAGAUUUAUACAGUGCCCCCUGCAUGGGUGGUGGCUUAUUUUUUUCUGUCACUUUCCUGCUUGUUCACACCACUCUCUCCCUGGCCUUCUUAUGUCACAGAUUCCCUGAGUACACUCUGGCCUCAAUCUUUCCAUGAAGUAACUCUCCUUUCUAGAACAUUCUUGCUUGCAUAACUAUCUGCUUCUGUCCUCACUGUAUUCUGAUCUGUACUUCAAUGUCAAUUUCCAGACAGGCAUUCUCUGCCCAUCCUCUAAAGUGUGCCCCCUGUUUUCUUUGCUGUUAUCUGUUUAUCCUAAGUCUAAGUCACUGACCUUAUUGUAGACCAAAUCUGUUAGUAUUUCUCUCCAGGAUGCAAGCCUAGUGAUGAAGGAGUCAUUGUUCCAUUGUCAGAAUAGCUACAGAAUCCAGGCUGUUCUGCCCUGAAUGCUUUACUAAGUAAUGAAGCUCAAUAAAACAAUUUGACC
rnacentral:lncRNA from 1 species